rnacentral:rRNA from 1 species
AUUGAACGCUGGCGGCAUGCCUUACACAUGCAAGUCGAACGGCAGCGGACCUUCGGGUGCCGGCGAGUGGCGAACGGGUGAGUAAUAUAUCGGAACGUACCUUUCAGUGGGGGAUAACGUAGCGAAAGUUACGCUAAUACCGCAUAUUCUGUGAGCAGGAAAGCAGGGGAUCGCAAGACCUUGCGCUGAUUGAGCGGCCGAUAUCAGAUUAGCUAGUUGGUGAGGUAAAGGCUCACCAAGGCGACGAUCUGUAGCGGGUCUGAGAGGAUGAUCCGCCACACUGGAACUGAGACACGGUCCAGACUCCUACGGGAGGCAGCAGUGGGGAAUUUUGGACAAUGGGCGCAAGCCUGAUCCAGCCAUGCCGCGUGAGUGAAGAAGGCCUUCGGGUUGUAAAGCACUUUUAUCAGGAACGAAAAGCGUUGGAUUAAUACUCUGACGUGCUGACGGUACCUGAGGAAUAAGCACCGGCUAACUUCGUG